AGCCCAUGAUUAGGACAUCUCCUGAAUAAGGCUUUGUAUCUCUCCCAAGCAUCAUUCAAGCUCUCGCCUUCACGCUGAACAAAAUUGAAGAUCUCAUCUCGAAUUGCGGAC
rnacentral:snoRNA from 1 species